ACUCAGUGGUUCUGAGUUUGGG
rnacentral:snRNA from 1 species